rnacentral:piRNA from 1 species
UGAGCCACGCACUUAUUAUUUCCAUA